CCUACGGGUGGCUGCAGUGGGGAAUAUUGGACAAUGGGCGAAAGCCUGAUCCAGCCAUGCCGCGUGUGUGAAGAAGGCCUUCGGGUUGUAAAGCACUUUCAGUGGGGAAGAAAGUCUUGGGGCUAAUACCCUCGAGGAAGGACAUCACCCACAGAAGAAGCACCGGCUAACUCCGUGCCAGCAGCCGCGGUAAUACGGAGGGUGCGAGCGUUAAUCGGAAUUACUGGGCGUAAAGCGCGCGUAGGCGGUCUGAUAAGCCGGUUGUGAAAGCCCCGGGCUCAACCUGGGAACGGCAUCCGGAACUGUCAGGCUAGAGUGCAGGAGAGGAAGGUAGAAUUCCCGGUGUAGCGGUGAAAUGCGUAGAGAUCGGGAGGAAUACCAGUGGCGAAGGCGGUCUUCUGGACUGACACUGACGCUGAGGUGCGAAAGCGUGGGUAGCAAACAGGAUUAGAUACCCUAGUAGUC
rnacentral:rRNA from 1 species